rnacentral:rRNA from 1 species
ACGUAGGGUGCGAGCGUUGCCCGGAUUUAUUGGGCGUAAAGGGCGCGUAGGCGGGAUGGCAAGUCAGUCGUGAAAUCUCUCGGCUCAACCGAGAAACGUCGGCUGAUACUGCCGUUCUUGAGGGAUGCAGAGGAGACUGGAAUUCCCGGUGUAGCGGUGAAAUGUGUAGAGAUCGGGAGGAACACCGGUGGCGAAGGCGGGUCUCUGGGCAUCUCCUGACGCUGAGGCGCGAAAGCGUGGGGAGCAAACGGGA